CGCUUCCCCUAACGGCACAGGGCAGCGCUCCUCCUUUUAAAAGGAGAGGAGGGUCGAGACAGAAACAGGCUGCCAGCCACGGCUUAUCCUCAGCCAACGCAGGUUCUGGCAGAUGCUGCCAACCGCAGACCCAUGGCUAAAUGGUCUUUUGAGCCAACGAUGUUGCAUUAGGAGAAUCCUGCUCGCAUCUGCGGAUCAAACAUGGUAAUACCCCCUGCAGAAAUAGCAGUCACAGAAGACCAAGUUUAACAGAUGGGCUCUCCCCUUCGGCCAUCUUUGAAGUGUCAUAUGACGCUAGUCAUGAGCAAUCGAGUUGGCAGGGCCUCCGCCCUCCCCCGCCUUCUCACUGCAGCUUGGGAGCCAGUUUGUCCCAAGUGUAUGGAUUUUAUUAGAAGAAAAGAAGCUUAAAGAACAUGAUCUUCAAGUCCUUAAGACUUUAUAUGAUCCGGGUCAAAGGUACAGAGAAGGAACUAACACUUCAGAAUCACCUGGAUUUCAAGUUAGUGAACUUUGCCACCAUUUCACUGUACAGUUUUAAGAGAGGAAUCAAGAAGAAGAUUCAGACAAAUCAUUCAAGAGGAACAGCUGGUAUGAUGUGAUAAGCUUAUACAUGCGCAUAGUGCAGCUAUCAAGAAUGAUCUUCCAGUGAUUACAGCAGCGUCACAUAUCAGUAAAGGGUUAUGUGCUUCAGUUGCAGUAUUCCCUCCCUCCCAUUCGUAGAAGCCUUAAAUCAUUCUUCUGCUUGUGCACUGAGGUACGUGAAUGCCAACUGAGGAAAAGCAGUAUUAGUAGCAAAGGAUAGCAUAUUUCCUUUAGGAACUCAUUGAAAAAACUCUGUAGCACUAACUUAAUUCCCCCAUUAUACCAUAGUGAUUAAGUUAUUAUGCUUUUAGAGACAACAGUUUAACUGUUAUUGCACCUGCAGUGCAGCUAAUCAGCUAACAUCCUUUCCAAUCACCUCUAAUCAAAGAGCUUGCUUAAAAGCCUCAAAUUAUUUCCAGUUGUGUUAUUGCACUUGUAUUAAGUCAGAGCAGUCUCAUUAUUUUAACCACCACUUUAUGUUCCCUGAUCCAGAUGCACCAGCUUGUGCCAUCAUUGAGAAAAAAAUCCUUGUUACUACUGAAAGAAUCAGCUGCUUGAAACUGUCAUUUCACAAGUCAUUGAAAUCCCUGAGAGGAAAUGGAAAUAGUACUAGGUGGUAAUGUGCAUCAUUGUAGUAAGAAAAGAUAGAGUAGAAUACUGAAGAGAAAAGUCUGUCAAAAUAUUCACUUGGAAUCAAAACAACAGCAACAGAAUUUAAUGUAUACUGAAAUUAGCCAGUUAAGGCCAAAUACUAUCUGGAUACAUAUUAAAUGACACAGUCUGAAUGAACUAGACUAGUAAUUUACAACUGGGGAGAAAACACAUAGUAUAUGUCUUGUUCUACUCUAUCACCGGCUUGUUGGAAAAAAAGCAAAGCGUUUGAUAGAAAGACAGGGGGGCGGGAAUGUCAGAAAACAGGCAAAAAGAACAUACUUGCCAAUUUUCCUGUUUGUGCUGUAACAUAGUAUUUAGUGGUACUGUGAAUACAGAGGCAGCUGGCAGAACUUCCCACUAGGUGACACUACAGCACUACUUUAUUCAUAGUGCAGACUCUAACAUAGCAACGAGGCACUAAGAGCAAAUACCAUGUUGUGAAGAUACCUGGGAAACAGCAAAUAGCUCACGAGGUGUCACCUUCCCAGCAGGGUCUGUAAAUAGCAGGUUUUUUGCCAAUCUUAAAAUAAGAUGGGAACUUUGGACAUCUUUAUGCAACCUUCUGUUGGGAACAGAACUGAAGCAACAAUACAGCGAUACUUCAUUUAAAAGCCUUACUAUCCUAGAAACACCCUUUAUUUUUUUUUAUUUGAAAAGAAUUUUAAAUGUGGACAGAAACAAGCUAAGAUGCAUACCUGAGCAGCUCCCAAAGUUGCAGUCCCCCACGAUAUAAGCUGUGUUAGCAGAAGCCAUUUUGGGAAAAGGAAGUAGUUGCCUGGCUUUUAUAGGAGGUUCAAAGUUGUGAGCAGUGAACAUAUGUCUAGGAAUACUCUCUGUUGUAACCCUAGCUGUGCAUGAAUUCAGGGUCAUUUACUAGUUCCAGAGUUUCAUGUGGGAUUUUGAAAUGGCCAGUGUUGUACAAAAAAUGUGGGCUGUUAAAGGUUGUUACAUAAUGUUGCAAGUCCUUUAUAGGAGUCAGGAAGUUGGAAAGAAAGAUAGAAUUUGGUCUAGUUUACAGACCACAUCAGAAAUCAGAGCACAUCUGUUUGAAUGGGAUAAUUUAUGGACUUAGAUGACCUGUGUGUUUUUCCCCUGCUCUGUGUUCUCGUUAAAUAGUAUUUGAGCCAAACAGUUCUGACCUACAGUCUGAGAGAAGAGGUUAGCUCUAUAAAUACAUUUAUAAAGUAAGAGGAUAAUUUGCAAACAGCUAUUUACACGAUCUGUUUAUAAAUUGAAAAGUGAAAGGCUAAGUUGACCAUGUCUUAAGGUGAGUAAAUCCACAAGCAAGAGCUCCGAGUGGUGGUGGAACUGAUGGAGGACUAAGUUGACUUUAUAUUUGUGUCUGGCGUGAGUUGGCUUGUAAAUAUCUAGCUUUUUUUCAAAUGUGCCUUUUUUAUUUUGUAUUACACUUUUCACGGCUUAUGUAUUUUCUUUUCUUGGCUUUUCCCAGGUUGACUUUUGUUACUAUUGCAUGCAGACAGUUUUGGAUUAGGUAUAAUUUUGCAGAUUUUAUAAAAGUGGUGUGAAUUAAUAACUGUACUGAGGGAUGGAGGGUCAAAGGAAUUGUAAAUGGGAUUAAAAGCUGAAUCCUAACAGGAUGUGAAUGUCGUAUCUUUGAAAUAUGAUGCCAGCAUUUCUGCUAUGUAAUGCAGCCUUCAGCUAACAUGCAUGAAAAUGCUUCUGUGGGACUUAAUUAGCUGAAGAAGGGAGCUCAUAUUGUUCCAUUAAUGUAAUAGGAACAUGUUGCGAAUUACAGAAGAAAAUGUUAUUAGAGAUUAUAUGAUAAGCCGAUGAAAUGCAUAAUAUGUUCCCUAGACAAGUCUAAAAACACCUUUAUGUUAAA